GGCAGCAUGGUCUUAGCUUGCUAAGGCCGAUGGCGACCGGCGCACGGGUGAGUAACACGUAUCCAACCUGCCGUCUACUCUUGGACAGCCUUCUGAAAGGAAGAUUAAUACAAGAUGGCAUCAUGAGUCCGCAUGUUCACAUGAUUAAAGGUAUUCCGGUAGACGAUGGGGAUGCGUUCCAUUAGAUAGUAGGCGGGGUAACGGCCCACCUAGUCUUCGAUGGAUAGGGGUUCUGAGAGGAAGGUCCCCCACAUUGGAACUGAGACACGGUCCAAACUCCUACGGGAGGCAGCAGUGAGGAAUAUUGGUCAAUGGGCGAGAGCCUGAACCAGCCAAGUAGCGUGAAGGAUGACUGCCCUAUGGGUUGUAAACUUCUUUUAUAAAGGAAUAAAGUCGGGUAUGCAUACCCGUUUGCAUGUACUUUAUGAAUAAGGAUCGGCUAACUCCGUGCCAGCAGCCGCGGUAAUACGGAGGAUCCGAGCGUUAUCCGGAUUUAUUGGGUUUAAAGGGAGCGUAGAUGGAUGUUUAAGUCAGUUGUGAAAGUUUGCGGCUCAACCGUAAAAUUGCAGUUGAUACUGGAUAUCUUGAGUGCAGUUGAGGCAGGCGGAAUUCGUGGUGUAGCGGUGAAAUGCUUAGAUAUCACGAAGAACUCCGAUUGCGAAGGCAGCCUGCUAAGCUGCAACUGACAUUGAGGCUCG
rnacentral:rRNA from 1 species